UUCAUCAAAACGAGAGCCUCCAUUCUCAACAUGUACAACAUCUGAAAGAAAAACAUUACCUGUAGAUCAGUAGUAUAUCAAGUACAUAUCUGUAAAUUUUGAUACUCAAUACAUAGAGAAAGAUCUUUUUUCUGAAAACUUACAUCUCCCUUUGAGUUUAUCGCUAUCACAGUAAAACAGUUUCACUUCCAUAAAAUUACAGAUAUUUGAAGUAAAACAUCAUUUGUUCUUAAUAAUUGAAAUUUGAUGGAAGUUUAGUGAUUUCCACAUGGGAAACUGAGAAGAUGUUUCUCUAAACUAGUGGAUCAUGAUUCCUCAUUUGUCUGUAAUUAGUAGACAUUCAGAAUCAAGUAAUGAAAGACGCAAUCGUGCAUCUACCUUAUCACAUUCAUUAAUACUUCAAACCUAAUGGACCUCGCAUGAUGAAACUAAUCAACCCCCACGAUUGCAGAGGAAGCUUCAAAUAUGGACCAUGUUUCCCAUUUGCUUCCACGGCCAGAUGGAUCUUGCCUCCUCCCUGCAUGAACCACCACGAUCCUGCAUCAUGAAUGAUGUAUAACAUAUGAGUUGGAGUACUUGGUGGGCAAGGAAC
rnacentral:lncRNA from 1 species